CCGUCCUUAGCUCAGCCUGGUCAGAGCGGUCGGCUGUAGGGGUCUUACCCUCUUUAACCCGUUAGUACGGGAGGCCGCAGUUACCGACAGGUCCCCGGUUCGAAUCUGGGAGGACGGA
rnacentral:tRNA from 1 species